UGUUGUUCGACAUCUUCAUCAGCAACCUGGAUGAAUGAAUAGAGUCCACCCUCAGCAAGUUUGCUGAUGAUACAAAGCCGAGAGGAGUGGCUGACACACUGGAAGGCCGUGCUGCCAUUCAACAAGACCUGCACAGUCUGAGACACUGUGAGGUUCAAUCAAGCCUACUCACCAAGGAAGCAUUCUACUCCUGUCUGUGCUGCAUCUCCACUCUGCUCUCACGCUGAACACCAGCAGCCCCAUCCCGGGCUGCACACAGCACUGCACACAGCACCCCAAAUGUGUGGCUGUGGAUAAAGAUCCAGCUGCUGUGCUGUCACCCUUUAAUCGUGGA
rnacentral:lncRNA from 1 species